CAUUUGCAAGUUCCCGAGCCAGGGAUCAAACCUGACCCAAAGUAGUGACGAUACCAGGUAUUUUAACCAGCAAGGAACUCCUUAAAUAUUUUUAUUCUCUAGCAUAUGAGAUUCACUAGGCCUGAAAUUAGGUCUUUCUGCUGCCCCUCCCGAUUAGCAAAGCCCGGCCUUUCUGGAGUCAGGAUGACCACUUUCCAGCAUCCCUUCUUGAGCCGGGUGGAAGAGUUUCCGGUUGGUCAAGAACAACACUCAUAAACCAUCUUUGGAGCCCUGAGAACUACAUUGUCCAGAAGACCCUGCGCCGAGUUGAGUCAAUGAAAGCUCAGGGUGAGGCGUUUCUGGGCGGAUUCCGGGUAGCGGGGCGGGAACUUCCGGCCUGCUGCUCCGUGAGCCGUCUCUGGGGCUCGGGGUCUGGUCUGACUGCAGAGCUUCGUGUCGGGAUCCGAGCGCAGGGACCCGAAAGGUCUGAGAGGAGGCGCUGUCCCUCGGUACAGAGGUGAAGUAGGGAUGCCCCACUCCUGACCUUGGAUAGGGCGGUCCUGCUCUAGCUCUGCUCCUCCGCUGCUGCUCCCACAACAGACUCAGAGGCAGCAGCUUCACCGAGGUACCGGCACAAGUAAGAAGAAAGUGAAACAACAAGGGCUUAUCUUGGAACUUCUUCAGGAUGUGACGUCUUUGUGGAGCCGGCUGAGCUUCAUGGAGUGUGAGAUAAUGUCUAUUCGCUGCCUUUAACAACGAGCAGAGGUCCUAGACCCACAGUCCAGUCUUCCCCAGAAGGCUGCCAAGCUAAUGCCUUUGGGGACAGCCUCUAGAGCGCUGCGGACUACAUUACCCAGAAGACGUCAGGAGGAGAGGCCGCCGUUACGAACCAGUAAUGAAUCAGUGAGGAGUUUCUGCGCGUGCGCAUCCCGCCGGGGCGGGACUUCCGGCGUCCUCUUUGUGGCGGUUGUUUUCGCUCUUCUAGGUUCUGUUCCAGCUCCGGGGGCGUUGUGUCAGAAUCGAGGUGACGAGACCAAAAAGGUCCGAGAGGAGGCGCUGUCCCCACGGCACAGAGGCGGGUCUGAGGUUUCUGUGACGCCGCCCGGAGUGUCCCACACCUGGCCCGGGAUAGGGACCGCCGUGCCCGCGUCCCCCUCCUCUCCCGUCGCUUCUGGCCGGUGUCGCCCGCAGAGCCCGAUGGCGGCGGCCGAGUCGAGAGACCCGCUUCAGGUAAACGCUCGUCCGCAGGCCCUCCCCGCCCUCCGCCACCAGACGCUGAAGUCCCGAGGGCGAGGUACCUGCAGCCAGGGCCCCGGAGUCCAGGACGGCGAGGCGGUCGUGGGUGCCGCCCUAUUUCGACGGACGGUGUGACGGCGCGUGGGAGAGGGUACAGGGGAGGGACCCGCAGGUGCAAAGGCUCGGAGGUCAGGCUGAGCCCCGAGGAUUCGGGAAACCUGGGGCCCAUCAGAUGUCUGCAGGAAACAAACACCGCGAGGUGGAAUCGCGCCUGGAUUGGCAGAGGGAGCGAGGACCCUGGGAGCCAUGGAGGGUUGUGAACUGGCUGAGAACGGUCUGGGUUAGGGCUUUAAAAGUUUUCAAAAAUCUGCCCAGAGAAUGAACGGACUGGAAUGGGAAUGACAAAUACAAAGAGACACAGGAUCUGGUGAGAGGCAGCAUUGAGGACUGAGGCGCAGAGGUUAGUCAGCUCGAGGGCCCUGGUUCCAGGGCUGGGUGGAGAUACACGGGAGUCCCGCCCUCAUGGGGCCCAGCCUUGGUCGCCCUCCCCUUCCCUCCAGGUUGUGAAGGUUGAAGAAGCCUUUAGGAACCUACAUAAGGCAGCCGAGGAUGUCCCAGUUCUCAUUGUUUCUGGUGGCUAAAGUGGAACAGACGUUAGAGGCGAGGCACACAUUCAGGGCUCUCGCUCUGGGGUCCCUGGAAGGACUGAGGUAGUACUAGAUCACGUUUGAUUUUGUUAAGCACUUUCUGGUUGCCAUGUUCCAAGUACAUGAGUGAGUCCAGAGAGAAGCCUGUGGUGUGGAGCACGGAAGUGGUAGAGCUGCGGGAUUGCAGCUGUGGGGCCUGAAGAUGUGCACAUGGACGAGUGGGAGUUGAGGGCCCAUGGGCCCAGGGAUUGGGACUUAAGGGUAAAGAUGACCCCAUGUUUGUCUGUGUCGUGGAAACACAGUGUGGGAGACCUCAGGGGAAUUGCUGUGGAACACAUGGUGAGGAGGUGGAUGGUGGGUUUUCAGAGCCAGAAUGUUUAGGGUUUCAUCUAUCCCAUUCAUGACAGGGUGGUGUGACCUUUGAGGACAUUGCCCUGUACUUCUCCUGGGAAGAGUGGAGGCUUCUUGAUGAGGCUCAGAGAUGCCUGUAUCGUGAUGUGAUGCUGGAGAACUAUGCACUCAUAUCCUCACUAGGUGUACAACAAUCAUCACAACUAAAUUUUACAGCAUUUCCAUCCCAAACCCUCAGUGCAUCCCCCCACCCCUCAGCCUGUCUCAUUUGGAAACCAUUAAGUUUUUCAAAGUCUGUGAGUCAGUAUCUCUUCUGCAAAGAAGUUCAUUGUGUCCCUUUUUUAGAUUCCACAUGUUUCUGGAGUGAAGAGGAUAUUGAAGUACCCUUUGAACAGAGUUUUUCUGUAGGAACAUCACAGGCCAGGACUUCCAAGGAACCUUCAUCUUCCCAGAAGACUCAACCCUGUGAAAUGUGUGGUCCACUAUUGAGAGACAUUUUCCAUUUGCCUGAGCAGCAGGGAACACAACACAGCCAUAAACUAUUCAAGUGUGGAGCAUGUACAAAAGGAUUUUAUUUCAGUGCAGACCUUCAGCAGAACCGGGAGCGGCACAUGUGUGAAAAACCAUUCCUAAGCAGUGUGGACAGGGCGUCAUUUGUGAAUAGCUGUAAUUUCACUGUGUCAGGGGAGCCUUUUACCUCCAGAGAGGCUGGAAAGGACCUCCUACCCACCACAGGACAUCUGAAGCAACAGGCCAUUCACACUGAGGAGAAGCCAAACACAAUCACCCACUCCAUGGAAACUUCACAGAGCAGAAAAAGUCAUCACCCCUGCGGUACAUGCAAGAAAGCCUUCAGUUCCAAACACACACUUGUUCAGGAUCAGAGUGUCUACACUGAAAGACAGCAUUUUGUGUGCCGUGAAUGUGGGAAAACAUUCACAUAUAAGUCCUCAUUAAUAGUGCACCGGAGAGUCCACACUGGCGACAGACUUUAUGACUGUGGCGACUGUGGAAAAUCAUUUAGGGGAAAUUCAGCUCUCAAUCAACAUCGAAGAAUUCAUACUGGGGCAAGGCAGUACAAAUGCAGCAAAUGUGGGAAAUCAUUUAGCCAAGAAUUUGUCCACAUUUAUCCCCAGGGAAGUCACACUGGAGGAAACUGUUACAUGUGCCAUCGUUGUGCACAGUCUUUUAGCCAUAGCUCCAUCUCUGUUCAACAACAGACAGUGCACACUGGAGAAAUGAGUUAUGAGUGCACUGAAUGUAGGAAGUCCUUUAGACGAAAAUCUGACCUCAUGGAACACUGGAGGGUUCACACAGGAGAAAAGCCUUAUGUGUGCAGUGAAUGUGGGAAAUCUUUCACUUCUAGCUCUGCCCUUCGUUAUCAUCAGAGAGUUCACACUGGAGAAAAGCCUUAUAAAUGUCGGGAAUGCGGGAAGUCUUUUACCUCUAGCUCUGGCCUACGUUAUCAUCAGAGAGUUCACACAGGAGAAAGGCCUUAUGAGUGUACUGAUUGUGGGAAGUCUUUUACCCAAAUAAAUCACCUCAUUAUACACCGAAGAGUUCACACAGGAGAAAGACCUUAUGAGUGCAAUGAAUGUGGGAAAUCCUUUAGCCACAAAUCUUACCUCUCUCAACACCAGAGAGUUCACACUGGGGAAAGGCCGUAUGAAUGUAGUGAAUGUGGCAAAUCUUUUACCUCUGGUUCUGCUCUCUGUUAUCAUCAGAGAGUUCACACAGGAGAAAAACCUUAUGAGUGCAGUGAAUGUGGGAAGUCAUUUACCAAUGGACCAAUACUCAUUCGACACCGUAGAGUUCACACAGGAGAAAGGCCUUAUGAAUGCAAUGAAUGUGGGAAGUCUUUUACCCAAAGAAAUCAUCUCAAUAUACACCAGAGAGUUCACACAGGAGAAAGGCCUUAUGAAUGUAAUGAAUGUGGAAAAUCUUUUACCUCUGGCUCUGCCCUUCGUUAUCAUCAGAAAAUUCACAUAGGAGAAAGACCUUAUGAGUGCAGUGAAUGUGAGAAGUCUUUUACCUCUAGCUCUGCCCUCCGUUGUCAUCAGAGAGUUCACACAGGAGAAAGGCCUUUUGACUGCAGUGAAUGUGGGAAAUCUUUUAGGGAUAGUUCUCAAUUGAAUCAACACCAGAGAGUUCACACUGGAGAAAAGCCUUAUGAAUGUAGUGAUUGUGGGAGAUCCUUUAGCCAGAAUUCAUAUCUUUCUAAACACCGGAGAGUUCACACUGGAGAAAGGCCUUAUGAGUGCAGCGAAUGUGAGAAAUCUUUUACUUCUGUCUCUGCCCUGGGCUAUCAUCAGAGAGUUCACACUGGAGAACGGCCUUAUAAGUGCAGUGAAUGUGGGAAAUGUUUUACCAAUAGCUCAAUACUCAUUCGACAUCGAAGAGUUCACACAGGAGAAAGGCCUCACGAGUGUAGUGACUGUGGGAAGUCCUUUACUCAAAGAAUUCACCUCGUUAUUCACCAGAGAGUUCACACAGGAGAAAGGCCUUAUGAAUGCAGUGAAUGUGGGAAAUCUUUUACCUCUCGUUCCACCCUUCAUUAUCAUCAGAGAGUUCACACAGGAGAAAGGCCUUAUGACUGCAGCGAAUGUGGGAAGUCUUUUAGCCGAAAAUCUAACCUCUCUCAGCACCAGAGAGUUCACACUGGAGAAAGGACUUAGAUAUGUAAGAAACGUGUAAUUUCCUUGUUUACUGUAAUAAUACUGGAGGAAAUUGUGAGGCACUCGCUGAAUUGAAUGUCAUAUAUCCAAAUACAAACAGUGAAGAGAUUCCUCAAAAUUUUCACUUAUGUGGGAAGCAUGUGUGACUGUGUUGCACUCUAACCUGCCUAGGUUGCUGGCAGAUUUAUUUCACUGCCAGUUUCUGUGGCCAAAUCCACUUCAUCUCUAUAUCCUGGCAGGUCCCCACGGUGCAUCACUCACUCCAGUGUGCUCAGGGAAGCUGACUCUGAUCCCUUGUUUGUUGGAGGAAAUUAGGAAUAGCCUGAGCCCUUGGGAUAUCCUCAUUCCCUUCUCUCUGACCAGCUUGGGUAUGGACCAGUAUUGGCCCAGAGAAUCCCAUAUGGGUUUGACUGGCAGCUUGCUGAGGAUGACUGCCAUUUUCAGGAAAAUGUUGGUCUUGAGAUACUUGUGAUAGAUUUUUUUCAGCUUCCACAUUUCUAGCUAAAGAGCUGCCAGCCCCACAAAAAGGAUUAAAAAGUCCUUUUUAAUCUUGGAUGUUCUAUCUACUAUGUUGGGUGGUUUAUAAACAGAUUGGGCUCUACAAGCAUGAAGAGGUAAGCAAUUUUUAUAGGUACUUUCUGUGCCUCAGAGGAGACAUUACAGAGGCAGACAUUAGCUUAUGUUUUUGCCAAGUCUGCAUUUCUGCCCAUGGCCUCCUAGGAGAGACUGCAGAGCUAGUCCUAAUUUGAGUCCUGGAUUCUAUAAGUUUUAGGAGACCCUGAGAUCACCCUGAGGUAGGGUCAGCUGUGACAACCUCAAGUGUUUCUGGGAGCAGCAUGGAUUUUCCCCCUUGUUCACAGGGGAUGUCAGUACUGUUGAGGGGAACCUCUUCCUCAGGUCCUGCAGAGAGCCAUGUCCCCAGUUAUCCAGAAUUCAAUGAGUGAUGGUCACUAGUGUUAAGACCAUAGGGGUCAGGGAAAACUAUAAUUUCUACAAAAACACUGGUUUAAUAGGAGUUGGGGGAGACUGCAUCUAACUGCAUGAGAUAUACCUCUUCUAAAUGUGUGUCCAGAGAUGCCUGUGAUAGUGGCUGUCCAAGGUGAGUAUAUACACAAA